UACGUAGGGGGCGAGCGUUGUCCGGAUUUAUUGGGCGUAAAGAGCUCGUAGGCGGCUUAGUAAGUCGGGUGUGAAACCUCCAGGCUCAACCUGGAGACGCCACCCGAUACUUCCGAGCUGGAGGUAGGUAGGGGAGAUCGGAAUUCCUGGUGUAGCGGUGAAAUGCGCAGAUAUCAGGAGGAACACCGGUGGCGAAGGCGGAUCUCUGGGCCUUACCUGACGCUGAGGCGCGAAAGCGUGGGGAGCGAACAGG
rnacentral:rRNA from 1 species